rnacentral:sRNA from 1 species
GGUUGUCUUAGAGUGGGACUGCGAUGCUGCAACUGCCAUCUUCUGCAUGGUACCUGAUAAUGUUCAGAACUAUUCACAAACUGGGUCCUAAUCCCUUCCCCAGGCAAUUGAUCACACAGCACACCCAUGAGGCUAUAGUUACAUGCUUAGAGUCAGAAAGCAAGAGUGGGAACGUAUGAAACACAAUUAUGUCAUCACAACCGGCUCAGACCUGAUUUUAUCAUGCCUAUUUGAUGAUGGGUUGCUACUGUACAAGCUACUUUACAGAGUGGCUGCUAGGCCUUAAUGGGUCAGAUAACACUGCUCAUAAUGAACAGUUCAGGUUUCAUGAUACUCAAUGGCCCGUUGUUAACUGUUCAGUUCCUGCUAAGGCCCAACAUCUAGCUUUCUUUCAAAGGGAGAAUAGUUGUAUGCAGAUGACAUUAGGGACUUCCUCUAAAGAUCGAAGGGCCUCCACUGUAAUUCAUGGAUAGGAGCCUGCCAAAGGCUCCAAAUAGCAUCCCUAUCUGCCACUGCCACUUCAAGUACCAUUGGGUAAGCUGGAUCAUAUGGUCCAGAUGGCAGAGCAACUGCACGAAAGCUUAAACUUGUUGAAAAGCCUUCUCUCAUUCCAGACCAUACUGAAAAUGGGAAGGUUUCUCUGUUCUCCUUUUUUUUGUUCGUAGGCUUGAGCAACACACCCAAGUGGGGAAUGUGUGGCCUCCAAAAUAGGCCCGCUACACAUUGUGAGUCCUUCGUGGUGGUGGGAGAAGCCACAUGCACUCUCCUUAUACUAGAAGUAAUAUUUCUUCAUCUUUUACACCACUGGGCCCCCCAAAUUUCAGCAAAGUAGAAGGCCCUUUGGGUUGUAUUCAAUUCCAGUCCUCUGAUAUGCAUGUUUUACCAACUUGUCCAGAGUGGUUGCUAUCUUAUGCUCACUUGCCCCAGUUACAGUGAUGUCAUCAAUGUCAUGGUCCAGUGUGAUGUCUUGUGGAACAGAUAGGUGGUCAGAAUCUUCAUGAGCUAAAUUAUGACAUAGGACUGGCGUGCUGAGAGACCUUUGAAGCACAACAGUAAAGUUAUACUUCUGGCUUUGCCAGAUGAAAGCAGACUCCUUUUGGUGGUCCUCAUGGACAGACAUUUGAAUUUGAACAACCACUGAGGAGCCCAGGUUCCAGGCACCACAGUCAUUUCUGAUGAGACUCUCAACUAUACAGAGGUAGAAAGCCUCUUCGGGAUCCUGAAUAACUGGGUCCCCGCUGGCGGGGACAAGUGGCGCCCGAACAGGGACCCCAAAGCAAGGCUGACUACAGGACGACGGAGAUAAGAGAGCUGCAGCGGGAAUCGAGGACUCUUCAGGCCGUAUCGCUCGUAUCGCUCGUGCGUCGCUGAAGAAGGAGAGCAAUGAAGCUCUACUGGAUUCUACUGAAACUUCUCUUUCCAACUGUGCUGACAUCCGGAACAUCAAGCCCCUAUCAGAUUUGGAAUUACACCUGGAAAUUCUGUUUCAGUACAUUAUCAUCGCUUGGAGACCGG